GAAGCUUCUCUGCAUUUUAAUAACGCUCGCCUUGGUGAACGUUUCGCCAAUAAUGACAGCGCCAUAUGCAAAUUCGGUUUACCUUACAAACAAAUGGAUCAAAGAGGCUGCUGAAAAAGAUCCUGCUGGAUUGGAAACUGCAAUUUCAAAUACUAUUAACGGAAAUGAAUCGAU